rnacentral:rRNA from 1 species
UACAUGGGGUGCAAACGUUGCUCGGAAUUAUUGGGCGUAAAGCGCGCGUAGGCGGUUCGUUAAGUCGGAUGUGAAAGCCCUCGGCUCAACUGAGGAAGUGCACCCGAAACUGGCGAGCUUGAGUACGAAAGAGGAUCGCGGAAUUCCCGGUGUAGAGGUGAAAUGCGCAGAUAUCGGGAGGAACACCAAUGGCGAAGGCAGCUCGCUGGGACGUGACUGACGCUGAGACGCGAAAGCGUGGGGAGCAAACAGG